CUUUUGGGCACAAGGGGUGUGUGAGUUGCGUGUGUCAACACUGGGUUAAAGUGCUAACUGUGGGGGCUCCACCCAGAUGGAGGAGGAGAGAAUGCCUCCUGCUCUAGGCGGGUUGAGAGCCUAGGCAGCUUUGUCCUGCUGACUGCCAAAGAGGAAGGAAGGUGCUAGUCCUGCAGAGGUUUACGGAACGGAUUGCCGCAGAAAUGUAGAGGACUGAAUUUAACAUGAGAAAAAUGAGAAACUGAGAGAACCGAAAUUGAGAGAUCUUCCCAUCCCCAAUGGAGUCAGACCAUUGGUCCAUCUAGCUCAGUAUUGUCGACACUGACCAGCAGCAACUUUUCAGAGUUCUUUCCUAGUCCUACCUGAAGACGCCAGGGAUUGAACCUGGGACCUUCUAGAGGCCAAACAGGUGCUCUGCCACUGAGUUAAGGAUGCUGUUAAUGAACCCCGGGACCUGCCUUAUGCCCAGUCAGCUCACUGGUCCAUCUAGCUCAGUUUUGUCUACGCUGACUGGCAGUGGCUUUCCAGACUUUCAGCCAGGGACAUUUCCAGCCCUACUUGGUGACAGAGGGGAUUGAACCCGUGGCUUUCUGCAUGCCAAGCAGGUGCUCUGCCACUGCACCACGGCCCUUCGAUGCCUGUGGAGUUCCCCUUUUUCCUGCCAGCGCAGCUGCGUGCCUGAACCAAGGCGAAUUCUGUGAGUCUCGAAUGAAUCACUGGGCACCCUUGUCCCACCUCCUGUCAUCCCACGGUGCAGCCUGUUUGGGGAGAAAAAAGGGUGGAGCUGGAAAAUAUCGCCCCAUCGCCGUGCAAUGAUUGAUGCCAGGAAGAUGAAUACGGCUGGUGGAGUGGGGGGAGUGUCAACCGAUCAUACUUUCUCCACCAACCCCAGUCUUCCCUCAGACAGCCCCCACCUGCUCCAGGUCCUUCGAUCUGGCCUUUGGAGGCCACACCCCUCACUGGCCCUUGCUUCGUACCCUGAGUGGUUUUUGCCUGGCUAGGACACAUCUUCGAAUUCUGAUCCAGCCCCUUGCAAUUUGGAUGGAGAAGGGUGUGCGAGUGUGUGCAGAAUCCACCCCUACUGCGCCAAGGGCUUUUAUCAUCAAGAAAGGAGGGCGCGACGGACAGAGCAAGGUUCUCUCCUCUAGCCCAGCGCCGCCGAGCCGUUUUCUGUGAGUGUUUCUCUGGCAGUGUCUUAGCUGGUUGUUGUGCGGCGCAAUCGAGGAAGCAAUCAGCGAGAAUACUGCUGCAGAAAUGCUGCAUGCUGAGCAUCGCCUUCUCCGGAGCCAAAGCAAAAGGAAUCCGGCUCUUCCCGGGAAUGAGAUGGGCCUCUGCUAUCGUCCUGCACUGGUUCUGGACACUUCUAGGAAACCAGGAGGACUUUGCAAGCUGCUGAAAGCCCCUGACUUCAAGGAGAGGAGGGUGAUGUUGAGACUGCUUGCUUGCUUUUGUGCGGUUCCCCUUUGUUUCCACGCCAGGAAAAGCUUCGGCGGCAAAAUCUCUGCAGAUUAGGCAGCAACAGCAGAGGAGUGUCCACAGGGCGUAACAACAGGAGGGAUGGUGAGUUGUGGACAGGUAGGUAGGGUUAGCAUAGUGCAUGGGGAGCUCUCUUAUGCUGAGUCAGACCGUUGGUCCACCCAGCUCAGUAUUGUCAACACUGACUGGCAGCAAGUCUUCCAGCCCUACUUGCAGAUACCAUUAGGUAGAUGCUCUACCAAUGAGCCGGGGCCCUUUGCUUAAGACAUAGGAACAUAGAAAGCUGCUUUGUACUGAGACAGGCCCUUGAUCCAACUAGCUCAUUAUUCUUUACCGUCAGCCUUGUUGGAGGGGAGAGACUUGCGCAUUCUUUAUUCCCAACGCAUCUGCCCAUGUCAGUCGGGUGAGGCUGAAUCAAUCACUCAUGGCCUGUUACACUGUACAUAUUAUGAGGACAUUCGUUCCUUUUAUAUUGCUCCAGUUUUAAAACAUUUGUCAGGUAGAUCUUACACAUUUUAGACCUCCUUCUCUCAGAUUUGAGAAAUGAAAUAAUGUUUCAAGGGGCAAAAUUUUGUGUCUUAGCAUGUACCGUAAGGAAACAGAUGGUUAAUGCAUCUUAACUUUAGUAUACUAGAUUUUAUUUUAUUGAAGUUUGUUUAUAUACAAGCUGUAUAAUUCACUCUAUUUGUUCAUAUGCAAUUCUUCUACCUUUCUGCAUUUAAAUACUUGUAUUUGUAUGGCUGGUCAUUGACCAGGAGUUUUUCCUGGCCUACCUAGAGAUGUCAGGGAUUGAACUAGAGACCUUCUGCAUCCAAAACUGACGCUCUAUCGUUGAGUGAUGGCCCCUCUCCAAUUGGAUCGCCACCUUUUUUUUUUGUCCCAGCUCCUGUGCGUUGUAACAGGAGCCUGAACCAAAGGCACUGAGCUGGAGGAAGCUUUACCGCUCCCUUGUCUGUCUGCCAGUAGAAAAAAAAGCUUCUGCAGGUCAGAUUUGACACUAAAGGCAUAGGAGCAAGGCCAAGGGAGGAAAGUUGGCAACCUUAGCCCUGCUUCUAGGUGAGAGGGAACAGCCCCAGAAUCUAUGUUUAUGACAGACUCACCACUUGCAGUGUUGGGGUGUGCAUGCUAUAUAUUUACACUUUGGGCUGUAACGUGAUAGAAAGUUCCAACAGCCACUUAAGUGAUUGACUUAAUGAACUAAUUAAAAGCCUCAUAGUUACAGUAGGUCAAUACCAGUGAUACCUUGAGCAUAUUUAAUGAAGAUAAGAGGGAGCCUCUCUCAACCAAACCACACAAACGAGCCAAAACAACUUUGCAGUGGUGUUCCCAGAGUUACAAGGUGGGCACUCAAAAUGGGCAUAUCCAAGUUCAACUCAGUUCCACAAAGACCCAGAUUUCAAUUUCUGAAACAAAAGGCGGCUGGGAAAAAGCCUGCCCAGAGGUUAUUCUGUAGCCCCUUUUCUAGUUCCCAUUUGUGAUGACCCAGUGAUAUAUAUAUAUAAAACUUUUCAUAUGCUCAGGGGUGCUGGGAAUUGUAGGUCUGUGAGGGGUAAACUAUAGUUCUUAGAAUUCGUGGGGGGGGAGGAUGUGCUUUUAAUGGGCUUUAAACGACUGGUGAGUAUGUAGCCCCAAAACCUUCAAUAAUAAGCUGAGUCUGGGCACUAAAAGCUCUCUCUAGAACCAACUCCUGUGAAAUAUGGUGCAGCUUGACGCCCUGCAACGGGCAGCUCUGGUGAGUACUUAACCGGGGGCCAGUUUUCCAGGCUGCCUCGGGUAUCUGCAUGAAUUUGUAAUGUGUGGAUGCAAGAAAACGUGUGUCUUGUCCAAGAAUGUUUUCAGGAAGUGAAGGAUUGGGUGUGUCUAAUGGGCGAGGAGACAUAACAAAAUCCCUGAGAGUUCAGCAGCCACAGAUUCUCAACAAGUGUAUCUUGCCAAUCAUAAGGUCUAGAAACUUGUUUUUGUUUCUGACUGGCCACACCCACCACUAGCACGUGGGCCCUGGAACGUGGCAUUACAAGGGAAUGUGGCCCUCUGACAGAAAAGCAGGCCCGGCACUAGUGGGCAGCCAAGUUGGGCACUGGCUGGGGGCCCCUGUGGUUAGCUCCUGCUCUGCGAUCCACGCUAGUGUCAGGUUACAGAGCAUGUGUCCCACUCCUAAUGCUGGUGUGGACUGCAGAGUGAGAGCCACUCUCCCAGGCAACACCCCCACUCACACCGCCAGCUAGCCGCACCACUUCCUGCGUCACCACAUCAUUGCGCUGCAUGCACAUACUUGCCAUCACCCAAGAUGGCAGCAGGGGCAUCAAUACACUCCCACUGCCUUCUUGGGUGAUGGCAGGGGUGUGUGCAUAGCAUGCUACUUCACUGACGUGGCCGCGCCUAUCUAAGCCUUGCCCCAGUGGCGUCGGCAGUGCUGCGGCGUUGCCACCGCCUUCAAGGGCCCACUGCAGUCUGGUGCCAGCCCUGCUGAAAAGGAUUUCCCACCUCUGAGCUAAAGGUUGGGCGUUACUUUAGACAUUCAUAUUUUUAAUCUAGGACAAAUGAAUGAAUGAUCUGAGUUCUACAUUCUUAUUUUUUUUGUCGUCUUUCCAAAGUGAAGUCCGCU